GGCGAACGCUGGCGGCGUGCUUAACACAUGCAAGUCGAACGGAAAGGCCCUGCUUUUGUGGGGUGCUCGAGUGGCGAACGGGUGCGUAACACGUGAGUAACCUGCCCUUGACUUUGGGAUAACUUCAGGAAACUGGGGCUAAUACCGGAUAGGAGCUCCUGCUGCAUGGUGGGGGUUGGACAGUUUCGGCGGUUGGGGAUGGACUCGCGGCUUAUCAGCUUGUUGGUGGGGUAGUGGCUUACCAAGGCUUUGACGGGUAGCCGGCCUGAGAGGGUGACCGGCCCCAGUGGGACUGAGAUACGGCACAGACUGCUACGGGAGGCAGAAGUGGGGAAUAUUGAACAAUGGGCGGAAGCCUGAUGCAGCAACGCCGCGUGCGGGAUGACGGCCUUCGGGUUGUAAACCGCUUUCGCCUGUGACGAAGCGUGAGUGACGGUAAUGGGUAAAGAAGCACGGGCUGACUACGUG
rnacentral:rRNA from 1 species